GGGUGGGAGAGAAGGGGAACCAGGCUAUAGGAGGGAUGUAGGCAAGGGAAUGAUGGCUGGGACCAGGGUGAUGGUGACGAAGUUGGUGAGAAGGUGUCCACGGCUGGACGUACUCCGAAGGUACGUAGGGAGAAAGAACAGUGUCCACACACACCAACACAACUGACACAGAAGUGAAUUACGGUGUCCUCUUCAAGACCCCACCCAACUUCUCAGACCAUGAACUUGCCUGAGACCCAGCUUUGACCACGCAAGCACACCCUAGGGGCUGACGAGGGAGAUGCAAGCAACCUGGAUCCCUGAGCUACCACGUGGAACAGAGCCUCCUCCCAGCCUGGAAGGAAGAGUAC